CAAAGCACUUUGAAGAGAGAGUUAAAGAGGACGUGAAACCGGUGAGGUGGAAACGGAUAGAGUCGGCGUAUCUUUCAAGUAUUCAUUUACAUUAUUUUUAUGUUGUGAUCUCUGAGCUCCAGAUUGGGACAGAGGGAAGCAGCAUAAUUUUCUGUGAUGCAUUUACUUGCUUGGUGCUUGGGGAUGUUUGAUGCAGAUUUGUAUCCGCCGUUUUGAGGCCAGCUUGCUGGUACCCAAACGGCGUUAGCAUUUUUUGUCUUGGACAUUUGAGUAUGGCUUACGGGCAUUUAUUGGUUCGAUCUAGGUGUAAGUUACGGUCGCAUGCGACACGUGCUUUUCAAUUAGUUCGGUCCAGUUAAUGCUCUCGUACUCCUUCCCCAUGUAAAAGCCGGUCAUCUAUCCGACCCGUCUUGAAACACGGACCAAGGAGUUUAUCGUGUGCGCAAGUCUUUGGGUGUUAAAAACCUAAAAGCGAAAUGAAAGUAAAUGGCUCUUUAGAGUCUGAUGUGCGAUCUUGUAAAAAAGUGCGGCAUGGCCCCAUUCUAACUGUUUACAGUAGGGUGGCGGAAGAGCGUACGCGGUGAGACCCGAAAGAUGGUGAACUAUUCCUGAGCAGGACGAAGCCAGAGGAAACUCUGGUGGAGGCUCGCAGCGGUUCUGACGUGCAAAUCGAUCGUCAAAUUUGGGUAUAGGGGCGAAAGACUAAUCGAACCAUC
rnacentral:rRNA from 1 species